GGUAGCGUGGCCGAGUGGUCUAAGGCGCUAGAUUAAGACUUUGGGGGCGUGGGUUCGAAUCCCACCGCUGUCA